CAGCCGUAAACAAUGUGCGUUAGGUGUGUCGGUAACCACGUGUUACUGAUGCGCCGAAGAGAAAUCGUGAAACGCACCACCUGGGAAGUACGGUCGCAAGGCUGAAACUUAAAGGAAUUGGCGGGGGAGCACCACAACAGGUGGAGCCUGCGGUUUAAUUGGAUUCAACGCCGGGAAGCUCACCGGAUAGGACAGCAGAAUGAUUGCCGGGCUGAAGACCCUGCAUGACUAGCUGAGAGGUGGUGCAUGGC
rnacentral:rRNA from 1 species